rnacentral:rRNA from 1 species
GAUGAACGCUAGCGGGAGGCCUAACACAUGCAAGCCGAGCGGUAUUAUUUCUUCGGGAAUGGAUUAGCGGCGGACGGGUGAGUAACACGUGGGUAACCUGCCUCAUAGAGGGGAAUAGCCUUCCGAAAGGAAGAUUAAUACCGCAUAAGAUUGUAGUGCUGCAUGGCAUAGCAAUUAAAGGAGCAAUCCGCUAUGAGAUGGACCCGCGUCGCAUUAGCUAGUUGGUGAGGUAACGGCUCACCAAGGCGACGAUGCGUAGCCGACCUGAGAGGGUGAUCGGCCACCUUGGGACUGAGACACGGCCCAGACUCCUUCGGGAGGCAGCAGUGGGGAAUAUUGCACAAUGGGGGAAACCCUGAUGCAGCAACGCCGCGUGAGUGAUGAAGGUCUUCGGAUUGUAAAACUCUGUCUUCAGGGACGAUAAUGGCGGUACCUGAGGAGGAAGCCACGGCUAACUACGUGCCAGCCGCCGCAGUAAGAC